AUGGCUCAGAACGAACGCUGGUAGCGUGGAUUAGGCAUGCAAGUCGAACGGGAUCCGGGAGGUAGCAAUACUUCCUGGUGAGAGUGGCGGAUUGGGGAGGAACACGUGAGCAACCUGCCUUGGAGUCGGGGAAAACCGUUGGAAACGACGGCUAAUACCGGAUGUGGCGCCUGGCGACAUCGCCGGAGCGCUAAAGGGGGCCGCAAGGCUCUCGCUCCUAGAGGGGCUCGCGCACCAUCAGCUUGUUGGCGGGGUAACGGCCCACCAAGGCCUACGGUUAGCUGGUCUGAGAGGAUGACCAGCCCCACUGGGACUGAGAUACUGCCCAGACUCCUACGGGAGGCUGCAGUCGAGGAUCAUUUGCAAUGGGCGAAAGCCUGACAAUGCGACGCUGCGUGGAGGAUGAAGGCCUUCGGGUUGUAAACUCCUGUCAUGGGGGAACAGGCGAGGGGAGUUAAUACCUCCCUUAGUUGAGUGUACCCCAAGAGGAAUUGGCGGCUAACUCUGUGCCAGCCGCCGC
rnacentral:rRNA from 1 species